rnacentral:rRNA from 1 species
GACGAACGCUGGCGGCGUGCUUAACACAUGCAAGUCGAACGGAAAGGCCCUGCUUUUGUGGGCUGCUCGAGUGGCGAACGGGUGGGUAACACGUGAGUAACCUGCUCUUGACUUUGGGAUAACUUCUGGUAACUGGGGCUACUACCGGAUAGGAGCUCCUGCUGCACGGUGGGGGUUGGAAAGUUUCGGCGGUUGGGGAUGGACUCGCGGCUUAUCAGCUCGUUGGUGGGGUAGUGGGUUACCCAGGCUUGGACGGGUAGCCGGCAUGAGAGGGUGACCGGCCACAUUGGGACUAAGGUACGGCCCAGACUCCUACGGGGGGCAGCAGUGGGGAGUAUUGCACAAUGGGCGGAAGCCUAAGGCGGCAGCGCCGCGGGCGGGAAGACGUCCUUCGGGUUGUAAACCGCUUUCGCCUGUGACGAAGCGCGAGUGACGGUAAUGGGUAAAGAAGCACCGGCUAACUACGUG